UACGAAGGGGGCUAGCGUUGUUCGGAGUUACUGGGCGUAAAGCGCACGUAGGCGGACAUUUAAGUCAGGGGUGAAAUCCCGAGGCUCAACCUCGGAACUGCCUUUGAUACUGGGUGUCUUGAGUCCGGAAGAGGUGAGUGGAAUUCCGAGUGUAGAGGUGAAAUUCGUAGAUAUUCGGAGGAACACCAGUGGCGAAGGCGGCUCACUGGUCCGGUACUGACGCUGAGGUGCGAAAGCGUGGGGAGCAAACAGGAUUAGAUGCCCUGGUAGUCCACGCCGUAAACGAUGGAAGCUAGCCGUUGGCAAGUUUACUUGUCGGUGGCGCAGCUAACGCAUUAAGCUUCCCGCCUGGGGAGUACGGUCGCAAGAUUAAA
rnacentral:rRNA from 1 species